rnacentral:rRNA from 1 species
CGUGUGGUUCUAUUUUGUUGGUUAUGGGACCGCCGUAAUGAUUAAUAGGGACAGUCGGGGGCAUCAGUAUUCAAUAGUCAGAGGUGAAAUUCUUGGAUUUAUUGAAGACUAACUACUGCGAAAGCAUUUGCCAAGGAUGUUUUCAUUAAUCAGGAACGAAAGUUAGGGGAUCGAAGACGAUCAGAUACCGUCGUAGUCUUAACCAUAAACUAUGCCGACUAGGGAUCGGGCGAUGUUACUUUUUGACUCGCUCGGCACCUUACGAGAAAUCAAAGUCUGUGGGUUCCUGGGGGAGUAUGGUGGCAACGCUGAAACUUAAAGAAAUUGACGGAAGGGCACCACCAGGAGUGGAGCCUGCGGCUUAAUUUGACUCAACACGGGGAAACUCAC